UGGAUCUGUUGUGUCAUUCUCCGACGACGAUAGUGGUUUGGAUCUUCUCGGUUUUUUGUAGGUCUGGAUCUGCUCGGUCCCUUGUUGGCUGGAGGGCGGUGAAGUUGUUAUGGGUGUUGGAGCCAUCGAAUGCGUUCGGUGAUUGAAACAGAAGCUUGGUUAGGGGGAGUGGGCCUGGGCCUAGAGUAGGGAUCGAUUACUAUCUCUCUCAAUCGCGCUCCCACGGUUUUCAGAAUACGCUUGCGGUAUCCAUCUUGUUUCUCUUCUCUCAUCUUUAUAGCUUUAUAGCUUGCAUGCUGCAGAUUUUGAAUGUUUAUGUGUGAUGGAAUUAUUUGGGUGUUUUUUGAAAUUUGGGUUUUUGAUUGUGUUGGAAGGUAUGUAUGGUCCACAAUAGACAACCCUGAGAUGGUGGUACUGGAGAAUGGCCUUCGAGCAGUAAAUAUCUUUGGCCACUCUAGCAAAUCAUUGUGGUACUGUGAGCACGUUACCAUUUGCUUUGAAAGAGUUUGUCCAUAUCAAAGAAGGGUUGCAGUUGUGGAGAAGAAAUUUUUCUAUUUCUGGAUGUAUUGGAAAUUUUUA